rnacentral:rRNA from 1 species
CCUACGGGUGGCACCAGUGGGGAAUAUUGCACAAUGGGGGAAACCCUGAUGCAGCAACGCCGCGUGAGUGAUGAAGGUUUUCGGAUCGUAAAGCUCUGUCUUCAGGGACGAUAAUGACGGUACCUGAGGAGGAAGCCACGGCUAACUACGUGCCAGCAGCCGCGGUAAUACGUAGGUGGCGAGCGUUGUCCGGAUUUACUGGGCGUAAAGGGAGCGUAGGCGGACUUUUAAGUGAGAUGUGAAAUACUCGGGCUCAACCCGGGGGCUGCAUUUCAAACUGGGAGUCUAGAGUGCAGGAGAGGAGAGUGGAAUUCCUAGUGUAGCGGUGAAAUGCGUAGAGAUUAGGAAGAACACCAGUGGCGAAGGCGACUCUCUGGACUGUAACUGACGCUGAGGCUCGAAAGCGUGGGGAGCAAACAGGAUUAGAUACCCUGGUAGUC